ACAUACACUCCUACGGGAGGCAGCAGUGAGGAAUAUUGGACAAUGGGUGGAAGCCUGAUCCAGCCAUCCCGCGUGCAGGAAGACGGCCCUAUGGGUUGUAAACUGCUUUUAUCUGGGGAUAAACCUACUUACGUGUAAGUAGCUGAAGGUACCAGAAGAAUAAGCACCGGCUAACUCCGUGCCAGCAGCCGCGGUAAUACGGAGGGUGCAAGCGUUAUCCGGAUUUAUUGGGUUUAAAGGGUCCGUAGGCGGACUGAUAAGUCAGUGGUGAAAUCCGACAGCUUAACUGUCGAACUGCCAUUGAUACUGUUAGUCUUGAGUAAGGUUGAAGUGGCUGGAAUAAGUAGUGUAGCGGUGAAAUGCAUAGAUAUUACUUAGAACACCAAUUGCGAAGGCAGGUCACUAAGUCUUAACUGACGCUGAUGGACGAAAGCGUGGGGAGCGAACAGGAUUAGAAACCCCAGUAGUCCCAUGAU
rnacentral:rRNA from 1 species